rnacentral:rRNA from 1 species
GAUGAACGCUGGCGGCGUGCUUAACACAUGCAAGUCGAACGGUGAAGCCAAGCUUGCUUGGUGGAUCAGUGGCGAACAGGUGAGUAACACGUGAGCAAUCUGCCCUUGACUCUGGGAUAAGCGCUGGAAACGGCGUCUAAUACUGGAUAUGAGCUGUGGCCGCAUGGUCGGCAGUUGGAAAGAAUUUCGGUCAAGGAUGAGCUCGCGGCCUAUCAGUUUGUUGGUGAGGUAAUGGCUCACCAAGGCGUCGACGGGUAGCCGGCCUGAGAGGGUGACCGGCCACACGGGGACUGAGACACGGCCCAGACUCCGACGGGAGGCAGCAGUGGGGAAUAUUGCACAAUGGGCGCAAGCCUGAUGCAGCAACGCCGCGUGAGGGACGACGGCCUUCGGGUUGUAAACCUCUUUUAGCAGGGAAGAAGCGAAAGUGACGGUACCUGCAGAAAAAGCACCGGCUAACUACGUGCCAGCCGCCGCGGUAA